CCUACGGGGGGCUGCAGUAAGGAAUCUUCCACAAUGCACGAAAGUGUGAUGGAGCGACGCCGCGUGUAGGACGAAGUCCUUCGGGAUGUAAACUACUGUCAGGGGAAAGAAAGUUCUGAUCUACCCCAGAGGAAGGCACGGCUAACUCUGUGCCAGCAGCCGCGGUAAGACAGAGGUGCCAAGCGUUAGGCGGAAUCACUGGGCUUAAAGCGUGUGUAGGCGGACUGACAAGUACUUUGUGAAAUCCCACGGCUCAACCGUGGAACUGCUUGGUAUACUGUUGGUCUUGAGGCAUCUAGGGGCAACUGGAACAAACGGUGGAGCGGUGAAAUGCGUAGAUAUCGUUUGGAACGCCAACGGUGAAAACAGGUUGCUGGGGAUGCUCUGACGCUGAGACACGAAAGCCAGGGGAGCAAACGGGCUUAGAUACCCCAGUAGUC
rnacentral:rRNA from 1 species